ACUGAACUCCGCUCAGAAUUGUUUUUUCGUUAUCAAUGGUUUAUCGUUGCUUACAGAUAUACAUUAAUUUACCGCUUGUAUCCUAAAUUUCCAACUUCCUACGUACAACAGUGACUGAACCCACGUACGAAGUAUAUCUGUUCUUUUUUUCUUCGGUACAGUAUAUAAAGACUACUACUAGGUACUAGUUACUAGAUAAACGGC